CUCGAACAAGGAUUUGGCCAUGCCAAGACAGUUGAGUGGAAGGAAGUACAUUCUAGGCAAAGAAAAAGCACAAAUGUGACCUACAAAUGAAAGAUUGGGAUAUGUGCCCUUGACUAAUGAAGGUUCCUCCUUAAUCUGCGAAGUUUCUGCAAAGCUUGCUGAGAGACACCCACAGAGUGGAAACCAGGCAGAAGAGAAGACUCACAUGCCCACCUCACCGGCCAAAGAACCCUUGAGAGCAACAGCACAACGGAUGUCAGAGCCAGGACAUCCAAGAACAGGUCUACCAAUCCUGCAAGAAACACCAAACUGAAUUUCAAGAUAUCGUGAAAACAACUUACUGAAGCUUGGAGUUGGAACAAUUCUAGCUUAUUGAGGAGCUCUUCAAAUUAGAAGGCAACAUGUUCCACUGAUGAGAAAACCGGCAAAGACAGGUUAGGCAGAAGAAAAGAGAGAUGAGACAACGGACUGUGCCAACAAACUAAAAUUUUACCUGCUGCUAUGGAUAAAAUAGCUUUCUUUUUAGAAAUACUCAUGUUAAUAAACUCCUACAUGCGACAUAA
rnacentral:lncRNA from 1 species